rnacentral:rRNA from 1 species
GGAGUUUGGACCGUGUCUCAGUUCCAAUGUGGCCGAUCACCCUCUCAGGUCGGCUACUGAUCGUCGCCUUGGUGAGCCGUUACCUCACCAACCAGCUAAUCAGACGCAGGUCCAUCCUGUACCGAUAAAUCUUUGACCGGUUCCCCAUGCGGGGUCCCGGUGUCAUAAGGUAUUAAUCACCGUUUCCAGUGGCUAUCCCUUUGUACAGGGCAGGUUACCUACGCGUUACUCACCCGUCCGCCGCUUUCCGUCCAAUCCGUCUUCCGAAGAUUCCGUCAUGAACUUCUCGCUCGACUUGCAUGUGUUAGGCACGCCGCCAGCGUUCAUCCAGAGCCAGGAUCAAACUCU